rnacentral:rRNA from 1 species
UACCAUGGUGGUAACGGGUAACGGGGUGUUAGGGCACGACACCGGAGAGGGAGCCUGAGAAACGGCUACCACAUCCAAGGAUGGCAGCAGGCGCGCAAAUUACCCAAUCCCGACACGGGGAGGUAGUGACAAUAAAUAACAAUACGGGGUUCUUUAGGAUCUCGUAAUUGGAAUGAGUACAAUUUAAAUCUCUUAACGAGGAACAAUUGGAGGGCAAGUCUGGUGCCAGCAGCCGCGGUAAUUCCAGCUCCAAUAGCGUAUAUUAAAGUUGUUGCAGUUAAAAAGCUCGUAGUUGAAUUUCGGGGUCAGUAGGUCGGUCGUGCCACUGGUAUGAACUGGUUUUACUGAUUCCUCCCUCUUGAAGAACUGUAAUGCCAUUAAUUUGGUGUUGCAGGGAAUCAGGACUGUUACUUUGAAAAAAUUAGAGUGUUUAAAGCGGGCUUUAGCUUGAAUACAUUAGCAUGGAAUAAUGAAAUAGGACGUUUGAUCCUAUUUUGUUGGUUUCUAGGAUUGACGUAAUGAUUAAUAGGGAUAGUUGGGGGCAUUAGUAUUCAAUUGUCAGAGGUGAAAUUCUUGGAUUUAUUGAAGACUAACUACUGCGAAAGCAUUUGCCAAGGGUGUUUUCAUUAAUCAAGAACGAAAGUUAGGGGAUCGAAGACGAUCAGAUACCGUCGUAGUCCUAACCAUAAACUAUGCCGACUAGGGAUCGGAUGAUGUUAAUUUUUUAAUGACUCAUUCGGCGCCUUACGGGAAACCAAAGUGUUU